UACACUAGAAUUGUAACACUCCUUGUAAUUUGGGGAAUUGGCCCCAGAGUAUCCACGAUCCGGCCGUAACCGGAUGUAUCCAGGGAAAGCAAACACCUAUUU
rnacentral:ncRNA from 21 species